AGAGUUUGAUCCUGGCUCAGGACGAACGCUGGCGGCGUGCCUAAUACAUGCAAGUCGAACGCUUCUUUUUCCACCGGAGCUUGCUCCACCGGAAAAAGAGGAGUGGCGAACGGGUGAGUAACACGUGGGUAACCUGCCCAUCAGAAGGGGAUAACACUUGGAAACAGGUGCUAAUACCGUAUAACAAUCGAAACCGCAUGGUUUUGAUUUGAAAGGCGCUUUCGGGUGUCGCUGAUGGAUGGACCCGCGGUGCAUUAGCUAGUUGGUGAGGUAACGGCUCACCAAGGCCACGAUGCAUAGCCGACCUGAGAGGGUGAUCGGCCACAUUGGGACUGAGACACGGCCCAAACUCCUACGGGAGGCAGCAGUAGGGAAUCUUCGGCAAUGGACGAAAGUCUGACCGAGCAACGCCGCGUGAGUGAAGAAGGUUUUCGGAUCGUAAAACUCUGUUGUUAGAGAAGAACAAGGAUGAGAGUAACUGUUCAUCCCUUGACGGUAUCUAACCAGAAAGCCACGGCUAACUACGUGCCAGCAGCCGCGGUAAUACGUAGGUGGCAAGCGUUGUCCGGAUUUAUUGGGCGUAAAGCGAGCGCAGGCGGUUUCUUAAGUCUGAUGUGAAAGCCCCCGGCUCAACCGGGGAGGGUCAUUGGAAACUGGGAGACUUGAGUGCAGAAGAGGAGAGUGGAAUUCCAUGUGUAGCGGUGAAAUGCGUAGAUAUAUGGAGGAACACCAGUGGCGAAGGCGGCUCUCUGGUCUGUAACUGACGCUGAGGCUCGAAAGCGUGGGGAGCAAACAGGAUUAGAUACCCUGGUAGUCCACGCCGUAAACGAUGAGUGCUAAGUGUUGGAGGGUUUCCGCCCUUCAGUGCUGCAGCUAACGCAUUAAGCACUCCGCCUGGGGAGUACGACCGCAAGGUUGAAACUCAAAGGAAUUGACGGGGGCCCGCACAAGCGGUGGAGCAUGUGGUUUAAUUCGAAGCAACGCGAAGAACCUUACCAGGUCUUGACAUCCUUUGACCACUCUAGAGAUAGAGCUUCCCCUUCGGGGGCAAAGUGACAGGUGGUGCAUGGUUGUCGUCAGCUCGUGUCGUGAGAUGUUGGGUUAAGUCCCGCAACGAGCGCAACCCUUAUUGUUAGUUGCCAUCAUUCAGUUGGGCACUCUAGCAAGACUGCCGGUGACAAACCGGAGGAAGGUGGGGAUGACGUCAAAUCAUCAUGCCCCUUAUUGAACUGAACCCCAAAAGUUGAACUAUUUAAUGGACUGUUUCCGAUAUUCUACUGGAGAUAGUCCAUUUAACUUUAGUUUUAUCCUUUUGUUAUUAUACCACCUAAUAUACUCAUUUAAUUUACUUUGAAAUAUCUCAAUUGAUCGGAAUUUUUCUCGAUAAAAAAACUCUGAUUUAAGCACACCAAAAAAAUUUUCUAUUACAGAAU
rnacentral:rRNA from 1 species